GAGGAAUAUUGGACAAUGGGUUAGCGCCUGAUCCAGCCAUCCCGCGUGAAGGACGACGGCCCUAUGGGUUGUAAACUUCUUUUGUACAGGGAUAAACCUACUCUCGUGAGAGUAGCUGAAGGUACUGUACGAAUAAGCACCGGCUAACUCCGUGCAAGCAGCCGCGGUAAGACAGAGGCCUCAAGCGUUAGGCGGAAUCACUGGGCUUAAAGCGUGUGUAGGCGGAUCGUUAAGUGUCUUGUGAAAUCCCACGGCUCACCCGUGGAACUGCUGGGCAUACUGGCGAUCUUGGGCCAACUAGGGGCAACUGGAACAAGCGGUGGAGCGGUGAAAUGCGUAGAUAUCGCUUGGAACGCCAAAGGUGAAAACAGGUUGCUGGGGUUGUGCCGACGCUGAGACACGAAAGCCAGGGGAGCAAA
rnacentral:rRNA from 1 species